AGGGAACACAGAAAUGGGAAGGUUGGAAUUUCAGUUGGAACUUUUGAAUUAUUUCUACUUUUUGAUGGUUUAUGCAAUUUUUACUUAUUUUAAUAAAAUAUGAAUGCAUUUAAAGGAUUAGUGGCAUAAAAUUGUUAGAUAUUAGUGGAACUUCUGAAUUAUUGCUACCAUUUCCUUCUCAUACAAGUAAAAUAUCACAAUAUAUCAGGCGACACCCUUUCUAAUAUAUUAUAAUCUGUACAAAGCUGCUUGUUUAAUUAUCUUUUAUUCAAGUUAUGUUUCUUGUUCGUAGCUUCUUAUGCAAAAUGACUUGGUUUAUGUUUUAGGGAAAGUUUGUGUUGAUUGAAAUCCAUUCCAAGUUAAUUUAUUUUUGUAUCCACUUUAAGCUCAAACAAUGUUCUUUGGCAGAUGAAAGGUUUGAUUGUAAUUGAAAUGGCCUGAAAUUCUUACCAAAUUUCUAAAAGUAAGCAAUGCUCAAAUAGUAAAAAAUUGUGCUGUAUUUUGUAUAUCUUGCAUUAAUUGGUGAUAAAGCGAAAAUAUUUGUGAGAGAGAAUUGAGGGACUGGGGGAGUUUGACACCAUGAGGCUCUCAUGCAAAGCCCUCCUCCUGGAAACUGAAGAUAAUUCCAUUCUUCUGGUGGGAUGUAGAAACUGUUAAUUUUAGAGUGAUAUUGGUUCUUAUGGCCUAUGUCUGUAUCUGACCAUAUCAAUUGGAAAUUGUGUAAUUAGUUUCCCAUGGUUUUGUUCUACUGGAUAACAGGGCUUCUGAUUCCUUCUUGUAGA
rnacentral:misc_RNA from 1 species